UACGGCAAGGAUGAGUCACCAGACUGUGAGCUGGGAGCAAAUCAGGGAUGAGGAGCCCAUCCUGAAAUAUAAUCAGUCUUGUCUCAUCGCUGUAACUCCCGUACGGCUCGACAGAGGCAAAGGUCGAGAGCCGUGCAUCCUCCAAAACACAGUUUCAUCAGCUGUCUGGGUGGCUGGUCUCAGAUGAUCCUGCAGAUGAAGAAGACCAAUGUGGAGGUCCUGGGCUGGUGUAGUUAAACAAGUUCCCUGCUAUCAUCAGAUUUGGACGGAGGAGCCUCUAUCUGAGCCAGGCUACUGUGGAAAGAGGAUUGUUGACCCUCCCUACCCACCCUGCUCAUUCCCUGAGGACCCACCCUGUUGCUGGUUGGGUGUCGCUCCCCGCUCUGCCUGGUGGUGGCCCUCGGGAGCUUUGAGAGC